UCCAGACUCCUACGGGAGGCAGCAGUAGGGAAUCUUCGGCAAUGGGCGAAAGCCUGACCGAGCAACGCCGCGUGAAUGAAGAAGGCCUUCGGGUUGUAAAAUUCUGUUAUAAGGGAAGAAAGGUGAUAGGAGGAAAUGACUAUCAAUUGACGGUACCUUAUGAGAAAGCCACGGCUAACUACGUGCCAGCAGCCGCGGUAAUACGGAGGAUGCGAGCGUUAUCCGGAUUUAUUGGGUUUAAAGGGUGCGUAGGCGGGCUUUUAAGUCAGCGGUAAAAAUUCGGGGCUCAACCCCGUCCGGCCGUUGAAACUGGGGGCCUUGAGUGGGCGAGAAGAAGGCGGAAUGCGUGGUGUAGCGGUGAAAUGCAUAGAUAUCACGCAGAACCCCGAUUGCGAAGGCAGCCUUCCGGCGCCCUACUGACGCUGAGGCACGAAGGUGCGGGGAUCGAACAGGAUUAGAUACCCUUGCAAA
rnacentral:rRNA from 1 species